GAUGAACGCUGGCGGCGUGCCUAAUACAUGCAAGUCGAGCGAACUGAUUAGAAGCUUGCUUCUAUGACGUUAGCGGCGGACGGGUGAGUAACACGUGGGCAACCUGCCUGUAAGACUGGGAUAACUUCGGGAAACCGAAGCUAAUACCGGAUAGGAUCUUCUCCUUCAUGGGAGAUGAUGGAAAGAUGGUUUCGGCUAUCAUUUACAGAUGGGCCCGCGGUGCAUUAGGUAGUUGGUGAGGUAACGGCUCACCAAGGCAACGAUGCAUAGCCGACCUGAGAGGGUGAUCGGCCACACUGGGACUGAGACACGGCCCAGACUCCUACGGGAGGCAGCAGUAGGGAAUCUUCCGCAAUGGACGAAAGUCUGACGGAGCAACGCCGCGUGAGUGAUGAAGGCUUUCGGGUCGUAAAACUCUGUUGUUAGGGAAGAACAAGUACAAGAGUAGCUGCUUGUACCUUGACGGUACCUAACCAGAAAGCCACGGCUAACUACGUGCCAGCAGCCGCCGCUGUAA
rnacentral:rRNA from 1 species